rnacentral:rRNA from 1 species
UACGUAGGGUGCGAGCGUUAAUCGGAAUUACUGGGCGUAAAGCGUGCGCAGGCGGUUCGUUGUGUCGGUGGUGAAAGCCCCGGGCUUAACCUGGGAAUGUCCAUGGAAACUGGCGAACUGGAGUGUGGCAGAGGGGGGUGGAAUUCCGCGUGUAGCAGUGAAAUGCGUAGAGAUGCGGAGGAACACCGAUGGCGAAGGCAGCCCCCUGGGCUAGCACUGACGCUCAGGCACGAAAGCGUGGGGAGCAAACAGG